GUUUAACAAGGCCGGUCUGCUCGGUUCUUUCAGGAAAUGAUUGGAAAGAUUUGCAAAGAAUAUGUUUAGGGCUUUUCUUCUCUAACUGGGAUGUUUUUGGACCGAUUUGUGUGAUUGCUGUGGACAAAGUACACACAAAGAUACACUGGU